rnacentral:tRNA from 1 species
GUAGGUGUGGUUCAGUUGGUAAUGUGCUUGCCUGGCAUGAAGGAAGCCCUUGGUUUAACCCCUAGCACUUCA